rnacentral:rRNA from 1 species
CAAUAGCGUAUAUUUAAGUUGCUGCAGUUAAAAAGCUCGUAGUUGGUUUUCGGGUGGGAAUGGCCGGUCCGCCGUUUCGGUGUGCACUUGCUACGCCCACCUUGCUGCCGGGGACGUGCUCUUGAGUUCACGCUCGGGACACGGAGUCGGCGAGGUUACUUUGAGUAAAUUAGAGUGUUCAAAGCAGGCCUACGCUCUGAAUACAUUAGCAUGGAAUAACACGAUAGGACUCUGGCCUAUCUUGUUGGUCUGUAGGACCGGAGUAAUGAUUAAGAGGGACAGUCGGGGGCAUUCGUAUUUCAUUGUCAGAGGUGAAAUUCUUGGAUUUAUGAAAGACGAACUACUGCGAAAGCAUUUGCCAAGGAUGUUUUCAUUAA